GAGACGCAGCCACCCGCGCCUCGAACCCCAGUCCGCGCUCUGCGCCGGGGGUCUGCGGGCCCUUCGGGCUCCGGGCGGCGCGAGGGGAGGGCGGGAGCCGGCAACGCAGGACGCCAAGCGCCAGGUGCCGGUCAAGCUGCGGCGCGCCUGGGCGCCCGGCUGGGUUGGGGACAGUCGCUGGGUGCCGGCGAGCGGAGCUAGCGAAUUGCAGCGGAAAAGCAAAGAUGUCACAGUCGAUCCUUUGCCUCCAGGAUACAUCAAGGUGAGAGUAAGAUCUCUGGCUGGCUGGAAUUAACCUAAGAGUGUAAGGCAGCCAUGGAUAUGGAGUAUGAGCUACUCAAUGAGAGCCACACUUGGCUUUCCCCGCCGUUUGACCUUGAUGGCUCUAUGGUGGCAGCCAAUAGCUCAAACCAGACAGAGCCAUACUAUGAUCUGACCAGCAAUGCAGUCCUCACGUUCAUCUAUUUUGUGGUCUGCAUCAUUGGAUUGUGUGGCAACACACUUGUCAUUUAUGUCAUCCUCCGCUAUGCCAAGAUGAAGACCAUCACCAAUAUUUACAUCCUCAACCUGGCCAUCGCAGAUGAGCUCUUCAUGCUGGGUCUGCCGUUCCUGGCCAUGCAGGUGGCUCUGGUCCACUGGCCCUUUGGCAAGGCCAUUUGCCGGGUGGUCAUGACUGUGGAUGGCAUCAAUCAGUUCACCAGCAUUUUCUGCUUGACGGUCAUGAGCAUUGAUCGAUACCUGGCUGUGGUCCACCCCAUCAAGUCUGCCAAGUGGAGAAGACCCCGAACGGCCAAGAUGGUCAAUGUGGCCGUAUGGGGAGUCUCCCUGCUGGUCAUCUUGCCUAUCAUGAUAUAUGCUGGGCUUCGGAGCAACCAGUGGGGGAGAAGCAGCUGUACCAUCAACUGGCCAGGUGAAUCUGGGGCAUGGUACACAGGGUUCAUUAUCUACACCUUCAUCUUGGGGUUCCUGGUGCCCCUCACCAUCAUUUGUCUUUGCUACCUGUUCAUUAUCAUCAAGGUGAAGUCCUCUGGAAUCCGUGUGGGUUCCUCCAAGAGGAAAAAGUCUGAGAAGAAGGUCACACGGAUGGUGUCCAUAGUGGUUGCUGUGUUCAUUUUCUGCUGGCUUCCCUUCUACAUCUUCAAUGUCUCCUCCGUCUCUGUGGCCAUCAGUCCCACCCCAGCCCUUAAAGGCAUGUUUGACUUUGUGGUGGUCCUCACCUAUGCUAACAGCUGCGCCAACCCUAUCCUGUAUGCCUUCUUGUCUGACAACUUCAAGAAGAGCUUCCAGAAUGUCCUCUGCUUGGUCAAGGACGUUGUGUAUAAGCCAAUUUUUCAGGCAGAAGACUCCGUGCCUGACCAUUGACUGCAUUCCUGGCCCCACCCUGCUGUCUGUCCCUGCAAAUAACAGGUCACCUCAAAGAAAAAAUAAAAGGUAGAGUUGGCAAAACUACAAAUCAUCCCCACUAGUCAACCUCCUGGAAGCACGUGUUCUGCUAACAGCAAUAGUUUUGCAUAAGAAAAAACACACAAUUUCUUUGGAGAAAAAUCACUUAAAAUUUAUUUUCAAAUGGAUUCUCACUGAGGACAGAUUCUAACAAUCAUUUCUUCCCCCCCCCACCCCUGCCCCCCGUGCUGCUGGCUUUUUUUUCCAUUGAGGUCUGACAGACAACAUUAUAUUCGUUUCAGGUGUACCACAUAACGGUUUGAUAUUUGCACACACUAUGAGAUGAUCACCACAGCAAGUCCACUGAACAUCCAUCACCAUAGGCAUGAAGCACCUCCACAAAGAGGCUCUCCAACAUAAAAGAAGUCUCCCCCUUGUCCAUCAUCCUGCUACAGGGCAGUUCCGGGGUUCAGGAAAGCUAUGUCAGCUCCUUUCGUGUGCUUUUUGAGUACCUGCUGGUACGUGAUGGAGAAGAAAGCUGUGCCACCAUCUGCAAUCUAGACACUUCUGGAGCAAAGACUCAGCUGGAUAAAGACUCACUCUGUUUGCCUUCAGCUUAAAUGCUUUUUAGCAGAUUAAAAUAGUCUCCUGAAUCUCUCUUCCUAACUCCCAGGUGGAUGGGCACCAUAGUAUUUAUCAGGCUUGCUCAGGGAAGCAACAGACCACAGGUGGUUCAUUUUUCCUCUCCCCUGCACCUUCGCACAACCACCUUUUGCAUUCUCCUGGUUCCAAAGGGCGCAUUGGCUAGAAGAUGACAGCAUCGUAUCCUCAGCCCUGCUGCAUGUGGCCUCGCUGGGGGCAGUCUUUGCAGCCGAGGAAACCCAUCCCUCCUCAACCUUAAACAGAACAUUUCUAGUUCAACGGAGCAGAUGCAAAAUCUGGUUUGCCAUCAGCAACAUGGUUCUAGGCUGUUGGGUCAGCAUGGAAAUGGGUUUUUAGAGGAUUUGGAAUUUCACGGGCUUCCUUCACUGCCUCCAGGAUCAAUGAAGUCAACCCUCAUUGCUGGAGACGCACCAAAGCAAGGCACUGAAGUGACAGACAGCAUCAGCAGUGAAGCCUAACGUCGGAGGUGGGCUUCGCCAUCCAGAAUGCCAAGUCAGCUGAGGUCCAGAGGUCCUUGGGUAGUGUCAACAUAGGAGACGGGGCACCUUUGAGCAGGGAGUCUCAUGCUGUAAAAAUUUAGUUCAUCAGCGUUCACAUCCUUUAGCCGUUCCCUCCAGCUGUCUUUCAAAAGAGUGUUCUCUAAUGUUUAUUGAAAGAUAGACAUAUAUUGAAAUUUUAAAAAUGCCUUCUCUUGACAAGUCCACAAUGCCCCCCUUUAAACAAUAGAAAGGCACGCUUUAGUUUUCACAAAGUAAGAAAGUGAGAAGCAAUUUUGAAGGAAAUAGUCUGCAGAGGCAUUUAAUCCUACGGAUGGACGAUGCAGAGCCAGGCCUCAUUCCUGUCCCCAACAAUCCCGGCUUCUGGUCCUGGCCUGGCCUCAGAUAGAAGCCAUCUACUACGCAGCUGAACAGGAGAAAACAGUUCCUGGUUAGAACAACCAGCUCAUGGAGGCUGCUUUUCCAUCUGUUUGGAGGAGGAAAUCAGCCAGCCCAGCCACACAACCAAAUGCCAUGAGCAGCCUCCAAGCUCACCCUAUCCGAUGGUAAGCAAAAGCAGACGAUUCGACUCUCCAGAAUGAUUCAGAUGCCUUUCCUCCAGGAAAAAAAAAAAAAAAAACUCCAUUCCACUUUCCAACAGCCUGAGAAACCACAUCAAUAAGAAAGAACAGAAUAUGGAGCUGACUCUGACAACAUGUUCAACGACAGUUUAACGUGUAUGGCAUCUUUCCAAAAGUAGACUUACUCCGUGUUCCCUAAUCUGUCCGUCACUCCCUAGGAAAUGACAAUGGGUUUUUACAAACAGUCUAUCAGUCAUUCUCACAGGAGACUGAAGACUCGUCCUAUGGCACUCACACUACAUUUCACCCCUCUCUGUUCUUCUGAGCAGUGUUGGGUGCGGACAUUGUUACCAUCCAUCCCUUUCCUAGGGGCGAUGGAAGUCAUGAAAUCCAAGCCUUUGGACCCUCUCCUACCACAUCUGUGAAGGCUUUACAGAGUUCUCUUUCUUUUUCCAUGCUGUGGACACAAGGAAACCAGGGAACAUCCAAAAAAAGCCUUCAGCAGCCCCGACUCCAAAACCAGUGUCAAUGCUGUGAUGCGAUGGAUGGUUUUAAUAUGUCAAAACUAGGUAUGCAUGCAAGCUAUUUUUAUUAUUCUGGUGGUAUUGUGAAUGUGGUUAUUCUUCUUAACAUGUCAUUCCUGCAUGUCCAGUAUUGAGAUGAAAUUGCUAUAACUGCCUUUGCCUUCAACGAAGUUCUAGCUAUCUUUGUGAAUGUGUCUGUUUCUCUGUAUGUCAGAUAAAUUGGCCUCUAUCUUUGCUGUUAUAAUUGACUGUGUAUGCUAGAAAGCAAGAAGCAAACAUUGCUUUUUAGUGACUUUAUUAUUUUUUUUUAUUUGCAAGUGGACUGCUCUAUAAACUACCUUCCCAUGAAAACAUA